GCCUUGGUGGCGGAAUUGGUAGACGCGCUGGAUUCAAAAUCCAGUGAUUGCAAGAUCGUGUGGGUUCGAUUCCCACCCAAGGUA
rnacentral:tRNA from 1 species